UCUGUGUGGGGAACAUGAGAGCCAGACCAAAGCUCAGAGGAACCCACCUGAACCUCCACCCAGCUCUGUGUCCUUACAGAGUGACACGUCCAAUCAUCGCUACAUUCAUUUUAGAGUCUCUGCUGCAGAGAGGAACCAACCUGAACCUCCACCCAGCUGUGUGUCCCUAAAGAGUGACCGGUCUAGAGCUGCCCCCAUUAGUUUUAAAGUCCAGCCUGUGUCUGAUGC